rnacentral:rRNA from 1 species
GCAUAUCAAUAAGCGGAGGCAAAAGAAACCAACAGGGAUUGCCCCAGUAACGGCGAGUGAAGCGGCAACAGCUCAAAUUUGAAAUCUGGCCCCAGGCCCGAGUUGUAAUUUGCAGAGGAUGCUUUUGGCGCGGUGCCUUCCGAGUUCCCUGGAACGGGACGCCAUAGAGGGUGAGAGCCCCGUACGGUUGGACACCCAAGCCUUUGUAAAGCUCCUUCGACGAGUCGAGUAGUUUGGGAAUGCUGCUCUAAAUGGGAGGUACAUUUCUUCUAAAGCUAAAUAUUGGCCAGAGACCGAUAGCGCACAAGUAGAGUGAUCGAAAGAUGAAAAGCACUUUGAAAAGAGGGUUAAACAGCACGUGAAAUUGUUAAAAGGGAAGCGCUUGUGACCAGACUUGCGUCCGGUGAAUCACCCAGCUCUCGCGGCUGGGGCACUUCGCCGGCACAGGCCAGCAUCAGCUUGCCGUCGGGGACAAAAGCUUCAGGAACGUGGCUCCUCUCGGGGAGUGUUAUAGCCUGUUGCAUAAUACCCUUCGGCGGGCUGAGGUACGCGCUCCGCAAGGAUGCUGGCGUAAUGGUCAUCAGCGACCCGUCUUGAAACACGGACCAAGGAGUCAACCUUAUGUGCGAGUGUUUGGGUGUUAAACCCCUACGCGUAAUGAAAGUGAACGCAGGUGAGAGCUUCGGCGCAUCAUCGACCGAUCCUGAUGUUCUCGGAUGGAUUUGAGUAAGAGCAUAUAGGGUUGGACCCGAAAGAAGGUGAACUAUGCGUGUGUAGGGUGAAGCCAGAGGAAACUCUGGUGGAGGCUCGCAGCGGUUCUGACGUGCAAAUCGAUCGUCAAACAUGCGCAUGGGGGCGAAAGACUAAUCGAACCUUCUAGUAGCUGGUUUCCGCCGAAGU